AAUGAUGCUAUGUUAUGGUUAUAAUACAAUAUUCGUAUUGAUGACAGGAUGAUCGGAGGAUCACAGGAAGAUAACAGGAUACUCCAUUUAUUGUUUCUAACACCGAAUAGUACACAUUUUACUGUCCUUAUAAAAUACCUGCAUUAAGAAAGAUGCAUCUAAUAUCUCCGAGGCGCUCCUGAAGGCAGCAGAGAUGUUUGCAGAGCUGCGGUUCAGAGACGGUCAGAGAGAGAAACUCUCCGUUAAAGUAGAACCGGAUCUGAGCUCUUUGAUCAGCGGAGUUGAGGAGCUCAGAUCCACCGUGAAGAUCCUCCUAAGCGGGCUUGUGGAGCGGGAGAGAGCUGGAGCAGGGGAGGAGGAGGAGGAGGAGGAGGAGGAGGAGGAAGAAAGUGAUGAAGUAGACAAGGAGCCUCAAAAACCUCGACUACAACCUCCUGCUAAAAAAUCCAAAAACACUUGAGGACUAGUGGAACAGCUGAGGACUCGUCGAACAGCUGAGGACUCGUCAAACAGCUGUAGGGAAUGUGUAAAGACAAGGAUUAUGUGUACUGUACAUUUUCCUAAUAAUAAAAGCUUUGAAAUACUGA